rnacentral:rRNA from 1 species
GAUGAACGCUGGCGGCGUGCCUAAUACAUGCCAGUCGAGCGAACAGACGAGGAGCUUGCUCCUCUGACGUUAGCGGCGGACGGGUGAGUAACACGUGGAUAACCUACCUAUAAGACUGGGAUAACUUCGGGAAACCGGAGCUAAUACCGGAUAAUAUAUUGAGCCGCAUGGUUCAAUAGUGAAAGACGGUUUUGCUGUCACUUAUAGAUGGAUCCGCGCCGCAUUAGCUAGUUGGUAAGGUAACGGCUUACCAAGGCAACGAUGCGUAGCCGACCUGAGAGGGUGAUCGACCACACUGGAACUGAGACACGGUCCAGACUCCUACGGGAGGCAGCAGUAGGGAAUCUUCCGCAAUGGGCGAAAGCCUGACGGAGCAACGCCGCGUGAGUGAUGAAGGUCUUCGGAUCGUAAAACUCUGUUAUUAGGGAAGAACAAAUGUGUAAGUAACUAUGCACGUCUUGACGGUACCUAAUCAGAAAGCCACGGCUAACUACGUG